CCACGCGAUUCCUCCAUCCUCUGGCAAGUCGCGACAACGGACGCCGCUCCACCCCCCACGACAGACUCCACGUGGCAUGUCCCGGUGAUAGCCACGAUUUCACUCCACUACUCUUCGCAACAAACUCCUCCUGACCGUGGGCAGCCCACUGCCGGACGGUUACAAAUAUCGCUAUCAGUCUGUUGCUCCCUCCGCCUAUAAAAGAGGUGACCCC
rnacentral:lncRNA from 1 species